UGGUGCAUGGUUGUCGUCAGCUCGUGUCGUGAGAUGUUGGGUUAAGUCCCGCAACGAGCGCAACCCUUAUCAUUAGUUGCUAACAUUCAGUUGAGAACUCUAAUGAGACUGCCAGUGAUAAACUGGAGGAAGUGGGAUGACGUCAAUCAUCAUGCCCCUUAUGACCUGGGCUACACACGUGCUACAAUGGCCGGUACAAAGAGUUGCGAAACUGUGAAGUUAAGCUAAUCUCAUAAAGCCGGUCUCAGUUCGGAUUGUAGUCUGCAACUCGACUACAUGAAGUCGGAAUCGCUAGUAAUCGCGAAUCAGAAUGUCGCGGUGAAUACGUUCUCGAGUCUU
rnacentral:rRNA from 1 species